rnacentral:rRNA from 1 species
CCUACGGGAGGCAGCAGUAGGGAAUUUUCGUCAAUGGGCGCAAGCCUGAACGAGCAAUGCCGCGUGAACGAGGAAGGUCUUCGGAUCGUAAAGUUCUGUUGUAGGGGAAAACGUGCGGAGAGAGGAAAUGCUUUCUGACUGAUAUUACCUUUCGAGGAAGUCACGGCUAACUACGUGCCAGCAGCCGCGGUAAUACGUAGGUGGCGAGCGUUAUCCGGAAUGAUUGGGCGUAAAGGGUGCGUAGGCGGUUUGCUAAGUCUGGAGUGAAAUGUACGGGCUAAACCGGUGCGCGCUUUGGAAACUGGCGGACUAGAGGGCAGGAGAGGGCAGUGGAAUUCCAUGUGUAGCGGUAAAAUGCGUAGAUAUAUGGAAGAACACCAGAGGCGAAGGCGGCCGCCUGGCCUGUUACUGACGCUGAGGCACGAAAGCGUGGGGAGCAAAUAGGAUUAGAUACCCCAGUAGUC